rnacentral:rRNA from 1 species
CCCUUAGAUGUUCUGGGCUGCACGCGCGCUACACUGGUGCGCUCAACGAGUUUACGACCUUGCCUGGAAAGGUUAGGUAAUCUUCUUAAAACGCAUCGUGAUGGGGAUAGAUUAUUGCAAUUAUUAAUCUUCAACGAGGAAUUCCUAGUAAGCGCGAGUCAUCAGCUCGUGCUAAUUACGUCCCUGCCCUUUGUACACAUCGCCCGUCGCUACUACCGAUUGGAUGGUUUAGCGAGAACUUUGGACCGGAGCUCGGGUGGUCAGCAAUGGCCGCCCGAGACAUACUGGGAAAUCGCUCCAGCUUGAUCAUCUAGAGGAAGUAAAAGUCGUAACA